rnacentral:rRNA from 1 species
GAUGAACGCUGGCGGCGUGCCUAAUACAUGCAAAUCGAGCGAACGGACGAGAAGCUUGCUUCUCUGAUGUUAGCGGCGGACGGGUGAGUAACACGUGGAUAACCUACCUAUAAGACUGGGAUAACUUCGGGAAACCGGAGCUAAUACCGGAUAAUAUUUUGAACCGCAUGGUUCAAAAGUGAAAGACGGUCUUGCUGUCACUUAUAGAUGGAUCCGCGCUGCAUUAGCUAGUUGGUAAGGUAACGGCUUACCAAGGCAACGAUGCAUAGCCGACCUGAGAGGGUGAUCGGCCACACUGGAACUGAGACACGGUCCAGACUCCUACGGGAGGCAGCAGUAGGGAAUCUUCCGCAAUGGGCGAAAGCCUGACGGAGCAACGCCGCGUGAGUGAUGAAGGUCUUCGGAUCGUAAAACUAUGUUAUUAGGGAAGAACAUAUGUGUAAGUAACUGUGCACAUCUUGACGGUACCUAAUCAGAAAGCCACGGCUAACUACGUG